rnacentral:lncRNA from 1 species
CUUAAAGUUGACUGGCUGCGAUUAUUUGCUUGAGCAUUGUUUGAUCCCUUUAGAGACUCACCAUGACAAAAUCAACUAUCAUAUGAUGGCAUAAUACCAUUAAUCACAAGAUGAUCAUAUGCUAUAGUCCGAUUUACUUGAUGGAUAAGCACACACUCCGUACAAGGACAUGCAAUUUGUUCUCCAUCUUGUUUUUCAGAAAAGGCAUGGUUUAUAAACUCCUCUACUCCAUCCAAAUAUUAUUUACUAACUCUAUCACAAUGCAUCCAUCUUUAUUUCUAGGAUUGUCCAUGACGUUCAAGAUAUUCUUUUUUGUUCUAUACUUACUGCAAGAGCUAAAAAUUCAUUAGUAAAAAGAGAAAAUUAAUAAAAAAAUAUAGUUCAAAUAAAACAACCAUCUUAUUAGUAGGUAAUUCCAUACCUCAAAGAUAUCAUUUUAAGAAUUAAAACUAUCAAACAUAAAUCCAUUAAAACUAUCAAAUAGUUAAACUAUCUCUAAUUUCUUCAAUGGUUUCCAUAUAUUGGUUCAUAAACUUUUUAAGAAUAGAAUUAUGAAACUUAUAAAUUAUACUUCUUCUAUGGUUUUCAUAUUUUUGUUCGUAAACUUUUUAAGAAUAGAAUUAUUACUUAUAAAUUAUAGAAGAACCAUACGCCAUAUAUUUUAAAAUUGAAGAUAUUACAAUUGUCAAACCCUCACUGUAUAUGGAUAUGAGCUAGCUGAAUAAUUUGCAAAUUUCAGCAAUGAUAUAGCAAUUUGCAAUUUUAGAAAUGUGAAUGAGGUCAUUCAAAGGCAUACAUUAUUUUCUUGAAGUAUGAUGUGUUAUAAUCCCUUAAAAAAGAUGAUGAACUGUUGUACUACAAUCCCUAAGUAAAGCAGAAAAAAGCUGAUAGUUUAAAUUUUUCUCAUGGUCCAACUUCUUUCUUCACUUCACAAAUUAUUUAUUCUUUCGAUAAUUUUUCUUAACUUUAUUGUUUUGCCAUACUCAUAGCGAAAAUUGAAGUGUAGAUUGUUAGAUGAAUUGAAAAACUUUUUGAUUAGUAAACCCAAUAACCUAUCGGAGAAACAGUUAGAGCAAAAGGAUCAAAUCAGUCAAGCUGAGCAUAUGCUUAUUUCGUACAGAGGCAUCAGAUUUAUGAAAAUAAGAAAAGCUCGCAUCAAUUAGCAAAAAUAAAAAACAGUAUGUAUGUCGACUAGUGGAUUCAUGUCCCGUCUAGUGGUAGAUUCAAUGAAAAUAUCAAUAUGCAUCGACGACACUUAAAAAGUUUCUGAAUAGUCACAAGAAUAAUAGUAGCCUUAGAAAAUAUACAGAGGAAUCAAUUCAUAAAACAGUAGAGGAACAGAGGAGGAAUAAACUCAAUCAAUCGCACAUCAAUUUAACAGCAGCUGGUUAUCACAAACGACUUAGCAUAUGCAGAAAAACUAUACUUUCACAAAUCUCAAAAUGCAAUAGUUGGAUAUCAAAAAUUACAAAUGUUUACCUGGUAAGCAGAUUUUUUUGCAAAAAAGACAAGAAAUUGAAGGAGAUGAUAAAUUUUUGCAACAAUCUUGAACCUACACAAAAAGAGAAGUUGGAGACGGAUUAAAAGGAGAAUACUGAUGACGAAGAUUGAGCAUAAUCGAGCAGCACCAAUACCAACUCAAUUUAAAUCGCACUUGCUGGGUAAGAAGAGAAGUUAUACCUGGGGAAAAAGAGGAUUUAUCUCUGGAAAAAGUUGAUGGAGACCUGAUCGAUGUAGGCUAGCAGAGUCGCGACUUUGUUAAUCCUGUUCGAUGUGGGAUUUGGCACAAUUCUACAUCCGUUCAACGAAGGGAAAAAGAUGAUCGAGAUCUGGUCGAAGUAGGCUUGCAGAGUCGUGACUAUGUUUGAUGUUAAUCCUGUUCGAUGUUUUUGGGCGUGAUUAUGUAUCCGCUCAACGAAGGGAAUAUGUUUUCCUCUUAUUUUCUAAUUGGAGGGAAU